GGAAUUGGUAAUGUGAGUCGCGCUCUGACUAGGAUAUGAGACGACGAGAACAUUGCUUUUUUAAAAGACUUGUACCCGUAAUCUUCAUAAUCCGAGUCAGGGCUAGCUGACCAUAAACAUGCCUUC
rnacentral:precursor_RNA from 15 species